rnacentral:rRNA from 1 species
UCCGUAGGUGAACCUGCGGAAGGAUCAUUACUGAAUCGUCGACACGAGUUGUUGCUGGCCUUCAAACGGGGGCAUGUGCACACUCUGUUUGCAUCCACUCACACCUGUGCACCCUUUGUAGUUCUGCGGCAUGGGAGAUCCCGUCUCCCUUCCACGGUUCUGCGUCUUUACACACACACAGUAACAUGGUCUUAUGGAAUGUAAGCGGCGUUUAACGCAAUACAAUACAACUUUCAGCAACGGAUCUCUUGGCUCUCGCAUCGAUGAAGAACGCAGCGAAAUGCGAUAAGUAAUGUGAAUUGCAGAAUUCAGUGAAUCAUCGAAUCUUUGAACGCACCUUGCGCCCUUUGGCUAUUCCGAAGGGCAUGCCUGUUUGAGUAUCGUGAACACCUCAACUCCUCAUGGUUUGCCGUGAUGAGCUUGGACUUUGGAGGUUUUGCUGGCCCACGGUCUGCUCCUCUCAAAUGAAUUAGCUUGCCAGUGCAUGGCGGCGCCACAGGUGUGAUAACUAUCUGCGCUUGUGGUUGCAUGCCAGGUAACCUUCAGUACUGAAGGUUUGCUGGAGCUCAUAAAUGUCUCUCCUCAGUGAAGACAGCUUUUGAACGUUUGAUCUCAAAUCAGGUAGGACUACCCGCUGAACUUAAGCAUAUCAAUAAGCGGAGGAAAAGAAACUAACAAGGAUUCCCCUAGUAACUGCGAGUGAAGCGGGAAGAGCUCAAAUUUAAAAUCUGGCGUGCCUCUG